CCUACGGGGGGCAGCAGUGAGGAAUAUUGGUCAAUGGACGGAAGUCUGAACCAGCCAAGUAGCGUGCAGGAUGACGGCCCUACGGGUUGUAAACUGCUUUUAUACGGGAAUAACGUGCCUUACGUGUAGGGCUUUGCAUGUACCGCAUGAAUAAGGACCGGCUAAUUCCGUGCCAGCAGCCGCGGUAAUACGGAAGGUCCGGGCGUUAUCCGGAUUUAUUGGGUUUAAAGGGAGCGCAGGCCGCACGUCAAGCGUGCUGUGAAAUGUCCGGGCUCAACCCGGGCCUUGCAGCGCGAACUGGCGGGCUUGAGUCCGCGGAAAGCAGGCGGAAUUCGUCGUGUAGCGGUGAAAUGCUUAGAUAUGACGAAGAACCCCGAUUGCGAAGGCAGCUUGCUGCAGCGGAACUGACGCUGAUGCUCGAAGGCGCGGGUAUCGAACAGGAUUAGAUACCCUAGUAGUC
rnacentral:rRNA from 1 species